AUCCCGAAGUAGAAAGAGCUAAUUUGUCUGUGGUUAACGUGGUAACGCUAUCAUUAAGGCAUAUUAGAGAUGAUAUGUUAGACAAUUUCUAUAUAUCUGGUUCAGUUUAAUUAAAUUUAAUUUAUAUGUAGAUUAAAAAAUCUAUUUAAAUAAGGUAGAAGGGUAAGCUUUCUAUAUUAAAUUAUAAAUAUAAAAUUAUAGGAGGUUUAAUAAUCUUUGUUUGGUUUAAUAAAAUUUUAUUAGUUUAAAAAAAUUGAACUUAAAAUAUUUACAAACAGAUAAUAAUAAAUAUACUAGUAAUUAUUAAGUGAAAGUUUUAAUUAAAUUUUAAUAUAAGUUUAAGUUUAGAAGAAUUUUUUAAGAACUUGGCAAUAUUGAUUUCGCAUGUUUAUCAAAAACAUCUCUUGGGGUAAUUCCAAGUAACCUCUGCCCUAUGAAUAGUUUAAAUGGCCGCAGUAUUUUGACUGUGCAAAGGUAGCAUAAUCACUUGUCUCUUAAUUGGGGGCUGGAAUGAAAGAGGCGACGAAAUUCAAACUAUUAGUUUGUAAUAUAAAAUUAACAUAAAGGUUAAAAGGCCUUUAUAAAUCAAAGGGACGACAAGACCCUAUAAAACUUUACUGCAAUGUGUGUUAUUUAGGCAAAACUUUGAGUUGCAGUUUAACUGGGGCGGUUUAUAUAAAAACAAUAGUAGCAUAAAUAUUUUACAUAGAAUUUGAGAGCUCUAGUAGGAAAUGAAUAAGUUACUUUAGGGAUAACAGCAUAAUUCUCCCAGAGAGUCCUAAUUGGCGGGAGAGCUUAUGACCUCGAUGUUGAAUUGGGGCGUCUGGUAUAAGUAGAGAUAUAUUAAGAUAGUCUGUUCGACUAAUAAACCCCCACAUGAUUUGAGUUCAGACCGGCGUGAGCCAGGUUGGUUUCUAUCUUUUGUAAAAUGUAGAAUUAAAUUGUACGAAAGGACCUUUA
rnacentral:rRNA from 1 species